CAUAUAAUCACAUAUAAUAAAAAUUGAAACGAUACAGAGAAGACUAGCAUAACCCCUGCACAAGGAUGAAAUGUUAAUUUGUGAAGCAUUCCAUUAAAAA
rnacentral:snRNA from 1 species